UGGCCAGACUCCUACGGGAGGCAGCAGUGAGGAAUAUUGGUCAAUGGGCGAGAGCCUGAACCAGCCAAGUCGCGUGAAGGAUGACGGCCCUACGGGUUGUAAACUUCUUUUGUCAGGGAGCAAUUGGGUCCACGCGUGGGCUUAGCGAGAGUACCUGAAGAAAAAGCAUCGGCUAACUCCGUGCCAGCAGCCGCGGUAAUACGGAGGAUGCGAGCGUUAUCCGGAUUUAUUGGGUUUAAAGGGUGCGUAGGCGGAAUGCCAAGUCAGCGGUAAAAUCGCGGGGCUCAACCUCGCUCCGCCGUUGAAACUGGCGUUCUUGAGUGGGCGAGAAGUAUGCGGAAUGCGUGGUGUAGCGGUGAAAUGCAUAGAUAUCACGCAGAACUCCGAUUGCGAAGGCAGCAUACCGGCGCCCAACUGACGCUGAAGCACGAAAGCGUGGGUAUCGAACAGGAUUAGAUACCCCCGUA
rnacentral:rRNA from 1 species